AGUGAACGCUGGCGGCAGGCCUAACACAUGCAAGUCGAGCGGCAGCGCGGGGGCAACCCUGGCGGCGAGCGGCGGACGGGUGAGGAAUUCGUCGGAAUCUACCUUUUUGUGGGGGAUAACGUAGGGAAACUUACGCUAAUACCGCAUACGUCCUACGGGAGAAAGUGGGGGACCGCAAGGCCUCACGCAGAAAGAUGAGCCGACGACCGAUUAGCUAGUUGGUGGGGUAAAGGCCCACCAAGGCGACGAUCGGUAGCUGGUCUGAGAGGAUGAUCAGCCACACUGGGACUGAGACACGGCCCAGACUCCUACGGGAGGCAGCAGUGGGGAAUAUUGGACAAUGGGCGCAAGCCUGAUCCAGCCAUGCCGCGUGUGUGAAGAAGGCCUUCGGGUUGUAAAGCACUUUUGUCCGGAAAGAAAUCCCUGGAGCUAAUACCUUCGGGGGAUGACGGUACCGGAAGAAUAAGCACCGGCUAACUUCGUG
rnacentral:rRNA from 1 species